UAUCGUUUUCUGUAUCGCAUUACAUCUAGCCGUUUAUCUUUUUCCAUCUACACAGUAUAAAUCUCGUCCACGCAAUAUGUGAACGGCAAACGCAGUUCGACCUCGUACGUUGGAUGGGUGUAAAGAAUUCGACAUGUUUUGAAUUCAAA